GUGUUCGCCUCCGCAGCAUUGAUGGUAAAAUUGGAAUGAAACAGAGAAGAGUAGCAUAGCCCAGUGCAAGGGUGACAGGCAAAUUCCCUAAGUGCUCCAUAUUUUU
ensembl:snRNA U6 U6 spliceosomal RNA